GAAAAUGUUACAAUGCAAAAAAUAAUAAUAAUAUUAAUAAUAAUUAUUAUAACAGUACUAAAAUAGACUUUUUUUUUUAAAUGAAGAAUAUAAUUUUUUAUUUGUUUUUCUUGUUUUGGAGUGAAACAUGUUCAUGAAAGAUUUCAUUAGAUUUUAAAUGAGCCUUUAACAAAUUUAAAAAGUCAACAAAUGAAAUGCACGACUCUAAUCUUGAAUAUCAACACAGAAUCAAGAUCCACAAGCAUCAGCGGAAGGAUUCAGAAACACAGACUGGCCCCACAUGGACUCUGGAAGCAGUCUGAAUGAAUAGCAGGGGACUGGAACACAUUUUCCCAUCAUCCUGGUUUCUUUCUCUCUCUUCGGUGUCUGUGAUCUGUUCGGAUGUGUUGAAUGAAACAGCUUGCUGUUUGAUUCCCUCUGUUCAGAGCCUAUGCAAAAAACGAAAGCCGUGUAGCUCUAUAUUUCCUCUUUGUGUGUGUGAUUAUGUAUGUGUGUGUUUCUGUGCACAUUUUUGCGUGUUUUAACGCAGUCAGCAGACUUUGGGAGAUCAUCACUGGAUUUAAACCAUUUAAACCUUGAACUCAAGACUGUGGAUGUAGAUGUAGAGAUACAUGUUCAUAUGAGGGUGAAUCGCAUGAAACCGCUAAAGAAAAGGUCAUAUUUCACCUCAGAAUCAAAAGGAAAAAUAAGAUAUAUUUUGCAUAAAGAAAAUGAAGAUUGAGAUUUUUCUUUUCCAUGAUGACAUUGAUUUCUUAACAAUUUAAGAUCAUUCUCCUCCAAAAGAAUUCUGGGAAAAAUGGCACUUAAUUAAAUUUAAAAUCUCAUUUAUUUUCAUUAAUCUAAUGUGAAAACAAAGAUUUAAACAUUAUGUAAAUUGCUAAAUGUUUAUGCAUCAUGGUAGUAUUUGUCAUACAUUCUCUAAUUUGAUGAUUUUAAUUGUAAAGAAUUAGUAUUACAGUAUUUGUAACCAUAAUACUGUAAAAAAAAAAAAAAGUUGAUAUACCAAACAAACUCAAAACUCAAACAUCAAAAUUCAGUAUAGUUACGGUAUUUUUGUGUAUAUAUAUGGGGUGAAAUAUGAUCCACACAUGAUUUCAUGAGAAACUGCAUACUGCCACAUUUACAAAAAAACAUGCUGUUUUAAAUAUGAAUAUUUAUUCAUGCUGUAUGUUAGUAGAGGACGUGUACUGUGCAAAUGCUCAGUGCCGUGGAGCAGAAUGAAGUAUACGGCGGUCAGAAUCAGAGUAUGGUCAGCUUUGUUGUUGUUUUGCCUGGUUUGCCCCUCCGUCUGAAAUCUGACGCAGGAGCCUUUCGCUCUUAAACAGCAGAAGCACAGCGGCUCUGUGCCAAAACAUGAGAAUCACUGCCUCAAACACACCUAGAUCCGUUCAUUAAUACACCACAUGUGAGAAUGAGGAAUAAAAGGGUCUCUGUUAAUGAGCUGCUCAUUGGACCCACAUUUUAUUCUUUCUACAUCAGUGUCUACAAACCUGUGUUUGCUUCUCUUGUGCCAAAAUAGCCAAGAAUGAUUUAAUCACUGCCAAGACUGCUUUACUAAUCAUGUCUUGAUUUCCUUUUUUGUGCAUCAGGUUAUGAAGUAUUGACUAUUAACUAAUAAAUCUGCCAAGUCCCUGUGAGGGAGAAUCUCACCAAACCUGUCCAGAAAAGUAGAAUUAAUUUCACCUCAAAUACAAAAUGAACAUUAGGAAGUUUUUUUUUUUUUGUGUGCAUUUUUUGCAUUUUUUUUUUCACGUACACUGCACCUCGAAUUAUGAUAAUUAUACAUUUUAUAUAAAUCCUACAUUUUAUAAAUAUCAUGCAUAUGCAUAAAGAUUGAUCCAUCUAUCCAUCUAUCUAUCUGAUAGAUCAGUCUAUCUUUAUUUACAUGCAAACACACAUAUGAAGGCUUAUUUUUUAACAUGCAUAUGAAUAAUAAAUUAUAUAUACAUUACAUAUACAAAAGACAUUGAAGAACCGAACAAAUAUAUAUAUAUAUAUAUAUAUAUAUAUAUAUAUAUAAUUUUUUUAAUAAUUUAUUUAAUUUAAAACAUUCAAAAGCAUGUCAUACAUAUAUAUAUAUAUAUAUAUAUAUAUAUAUAUAUAUAUAUAUAUAUAUAUAUAUAUAUAUAUAUAUAUAUAGUAAAACUCGUAUAUGAUUUAUAUUGAUAUGAUUGGGACAGGUCUUUGUGAGAUUUCACCCAUGAAGCAAGAUGAAAUCUGGGAAUUGUUGGAAAAUAUUGACCCCAAUUGUAACAUCUUUAAAGUUAAUUUAUCAUGAGUGUACAGUAUGUGAAAUUGCAAUUCCUGAAGUUAAUUGUGUUUUUGUAAACUGCCAAUUUUUUAUCUGCACUGCCACGUGACCAGCCGCUCGCCAUCCCACGAUGCACUGCUUAUUCAUUCUCAGUUUCCAUAGAUGGAUAUUCCUGUGAAACUAAACUCAGAGGUGGAAACGUUUCUGUGAGAGCUCAUUGCCAACUGUGAAGAGUAGAAAGACGAAGCCUGUGUGCAGAUGUUUGUGAAUGAACCUGAGACUACAUGAGCGACGUCUGUCUAGUGUUUGUCUCGUACUCUCCUCGUGUCGUCUUCUGCAUACUCUGGAGCAUGUGGAGACUGCAGUGAAUGAUGUAAAUAAAUCUGAUUUCUGUUCUGAUGACUUUCUGCCAAGCCGAUCUGCCACCUCAGUAUGAGUUUGUCCCUGUCUGCCGUCUGCUAGACAGACAAACCCCUCGUUUUUGUACGCUAACCUCUGUUAAUAAAAUGUUUAUAAAAUUUAUUUUCGCCAAAGAUAUGCAAUUGCAUUAUAUAUGGUAUUAUUGAAUAAAAGAUGUUGGUUUACUUAA
ensembl:lncRNA